AUGAAUAGUCUAAACCUCAGUGUGCUUAAUUGGAACGUGCGUGGACUGAAUUGCCCAAACAGAAGAGCCACGGUCAAUGCUACUAUUGCUACGUCUGCGUGUCAUUUGGCCUGUUUACAAGAAUCAAAGCUCCAGGCUGUUGAUGCUGUUGUUGCUUGCUUCCUUGGCGGAUACAGAUUAAAGGGUUUUGCUCAGCGCCCUGCUGUAGGCACGCGCGGUGGGAUAUUGCUAUUGUGGGAUGAAGAUCAUGUCUGCUUCGAGAAUGUUCACCAUGGCGACUUCACUCUCUCGGCGCAAAUUACUAUAAUCAGCUCCAAUACUUCCUUCAAGUUUACCACUGUUUACGGUCCAACUAGAAACAACCUCAAAGACGUGUUCUUUCAAGAGCUGAAGGAUGAGAAGCCGCCUUUGGGAGAACGAUGGCUCGUCGCGGGUGACUUUAACCAAAUUUACCGGGCAAGAGACAAGAAUCGUUCUAAUGCAAAUCGUAGUCGCAUCACCCAUUUCCGGAAUGCCCUCAAUUUUUGCGAGCUAAAGGAAAUCCACCUACAAAACAGGAGGUUUACAUGGAGCAAUGAGCAAAAUAACCCGACCAUGUCCAAACUUGAUGGUUUCUUCUGCAAUGAGGAUUGGGAUAUCACCUUUGACAAGCACAUCCUGCAUGCCUUAUCUUCAUCACUCUCUGACCAUUGCCCACUUCUCCUGGCCAAUGAUGAUGGGCCCUCGGCGACCGCGGAGUUUCCGCUUUGA
rnacentral:rRNA from 1 species